rnacentral:rRNA from 1 species
CAAUAGCGUAUAUUAAAGUUGUUGCGGUUAAAAAGCUCGUAGUUGGACUUCUGCAGGGGACGACCGGUCUACCCACUGGGUUAGCAUCUGGCUCGGCUUUUGCAUUUUUCAGGCACAGGCUGCUGCACUUGAUUGUGUGGUGCUUACGUCUGAACCUUUACCUUGAAUAAAACAGAGUGUUCAAAGCAGGCUUUCGCCUGAAUGUAUCAGCAUGGAAGUAAUGGUUAAUAGGAAUAGUUGGGGGCAUUCGUAUUUAACUGUCAGAGGUGAAAUUCUUGGAUUUGUUAAAGACGAACUACUGCGAAAGCAUUUGCCAAGGAUGUUUNCAUUG